rnacentral:rRNA from 1 species
UACGUAGGGGGCAAGCGUUGUCCGGAAUCAUUGGGCGUAAAGCGCGUGUAGGCGGCUCGGUAAGUCUGCUGUGAAAGUCCAGGGCUCAACCCUGGGAUGCCGGUGGAUACUGUCGAGCUCGAGUCCGGAAGAGGCGAGUGGAAUUCCUGGUGUAGCGGUGAAAUGCGCAGAUAUCAGGAGGAACACCAAUGGCGAAGGCAGCUCGCUGGGACGUCACUGACGCUCAUGCACGAAAGCGUGGGGAGCAAACAGG